GACGAACGCUGGCGGCGUGCCUAAUACAUGCAAGUCGAACGCAGUGGGGACGGGUGAGUAACACGUGGGUAACCUCCCAUCAGAGGGGAUAACACUUGGAAACAGGUGCUAAACCGAUACUGAUGGAUGGACCCGCGGUGCAUUAGCUAGUUGGUGAGGUAACGGCUCACCAAGGCAACGAUGCAUAGCCGAACGGGGAGUUUAAUCGGCCAAACUGGGACUGAGACACGGCCCAGACUCCGACGGGAGGCAGCAGUAGGGAAUCUUCGGCAAUGGACGAAAGUCUGACCGAGAAACGCCGCGUGAGUGAAGAAGGUUUUCGGAGCGUAAAGCUCUGUUGUUAAGGAAGCGGUACUUAACCAGAAAGGGACGGCUAACUACGUGCCAGCAGCCGCGGUAAUUC
rnacentral:rRNA from 1 species